rnacentral:pre_miRNA from 1 species
UAAAUACUCCCACCGUCCGAAAAUAAUUGUCAUAAAAAUGGAUGUAUUUAGAUGUAUUUUAAUUUUAAAUAUAUCUAUUUUUAUACAUUUGUGUGACAAGUAAAUUUGAUCGGAGGAAGUAGUAG